GAGGGGAUAGCUCAGUGGUAGAGCAUGUGCUUAGCAUGCACAAGGUCCUGGGUUCAAUCCUUAGUUCCUUCA
rnacentral:tRNA from 1 species